rnacentral:rRNA from 1 species
AACGUAGGACGCGAGCGUUAUCCGGAGUUACUGGGCGUAAAGGGCGGGCAGGCGGCCUGGCAAGAUGGGUGUGAAAUCUCCCGGCUCAACCGGGAGGGGCCACUCGUGACUGCGAGGCUGGAGGGUGACAGAGGCGCGUGGAAUUCCGGGUGGAGUGGUGAAAUGCGUAGAGAUCCGGAGGAACACCAGAGGCGAAGGCGGCGCGCUGGGUCACAACUGACGCUGAACCGCGAAAGCCAGGGCAGCGAACGGG